GAUGAACGCUGGCGGCGUGCCUAAUACAUGCAAGUCGAGCGAACGGACGAGAAGCUUGCUUCUCUGAUGUUAGCGGCGGACGGGUGAGUAACACGUGGAUAACCUACCUAUAAGACUGGGAUAACUUCGGGAAACCGGAGCUAAUACCGGAUAAUAUUUUGAACCGCAUGGUUCAAAAGUGAAAGACGGUCUUGCUGUCUCUUAUAGAUGGAUCCGCGCUGCAUUAGCUAGUUGGUAAGGUAACGGCUUACCAAGGCAACGAUGCAUAGCCGACGUGAGAGGGGGAUCGGCCACACUGGAACUGGGACACGGUCCAGACGCCUACGGGAGGCAGCAGUAGGGAAUCUUCCGCAAUGGGCGAAAGCCUGACGGAGCAACGCCGCGUGAGUGAUGAAGGUCUUCGGAUCGUAAAGAUCUGUUAUGAGGGAAGAACAUAUGUGUAAGUAACUGUGCACAUCUUGACGGUACCUAAUCAGAAAGCCACGGCUAACUACGUG
rnacentral:rRNA from 1 species